CCCCGCCCCGCCGCGGGAGCCCGGCCCCGCUCCGCCCCGCCGCUCCGCAGCUCCCCGCGUUGACACAGACGCCGCAGGAAAAAAUGCUGCUUCUGCUGGUGUCCACUCCACUCCCAAUCCUCUUGGGCAUAUGCAGGAGGACUGGAACAUACCACCAAUAUCUAGAUCAAAAGUGAACAAGAGGAAACCCACAAGCAAAGAAAGCACUGGAUCCUUCCUUCUCUUACGAAAAUGAUCACCACCCCCUCCCCAGAGACAAAAAAAUACUAUGUCCUUGCCCUUGAAAGAAAUAAUGAAUUGAUUCUAAUAAACAUAAAGUGCAAUAAUUUGA